GCUGCCGGGACCGGAUGUAACGUCACGGGGCCGGAUAUCACGGAGGGUGUGUGCGUCCUGUCUUAGCGGGCGGGGCUCAGAGCCUGGUUUCCUCGGCUACCAUCGGCUGCUGGACCGCGCGUGGCGUCCCAGCUUUGCAGCUAUGGGGGCUCCUGCAGGUUUGCAGGCAGACUGCGAGGCGCUGCUCAGCCGCUUCCAGGAGAUGGACAGCGUGCGCUUCGAGGACUUCACCGACCUCUGGAGGAGUAUGAAGUUCGGGACCAUCUUCUGUGGUAGAAUGAGAAAUUUAGAAAAGAACACGUUUACAAAGGAAGCUUUGGCUUUGGCUUGGCGAUAUUUUUUACCUCCAUACACCUUCCAAAUCAGAGUUUGUGCUUUGUAUCUGCUGUAUGGAUUAUAUAACACCCAACUGUGUCAACCAAAACAAAAGAUUAGAGUUGCCGUGAAGGAUUGGGAUGAAAUUUUAAAAUUUCAGCAAGAUUUGAUAAAUGCACAACAUUUUGAUGCAGCUUAUAUUUUUAGGAAGCUACGACUAGACAGAGCAUUUCACUUUACAGCAAUGCCUACAUUGCUGUCAUACAGAAUGAAGAAAAAAAUUCAACGAGCUGAAGUUACUGAAGAUUUUAAGGACCCAAAUGAUCAUGUAAUGAAACUUAUCACUUCUGAUGUAUUAGAGGAAAUGCUGAAUGUUCAUGACCAUUAUCAGAGAAUGAAACAUAUAAUUUCAGCUGAUAGAGCCAAUCCAGACAAAGCCCUCAGCUUGAUAAAGGAUGAUUUUUUUGACAAUAUCAAGAGCAUAGUUUUGGAGCAUCAGCAAUGGUACAAAGACAGAAAGAAUCUAUCCUUAAAAUCGAAAGGUAAAGAUGGAGAAGAAAAGAGUGAAGGAAAUUCACAACAAUUAGAGAGAAGUGAAAGGGCAGAAUCAUUAGCAAAAAUAAAAUCAAGGGCCUUUUCAGUUUUUGUUCAGGCAUCCAAGUCAAGAAGGCAUCGUCAGGUCAAACUUGAUUCUUCUGACUCUGAUUCUGCAUCUAGUCAAAGACAAACCAAAGCAACUAGGAAAAGAAAAAACAAAGAGACAUUGAAACCAGAAGGAAGGAAGAUGUCUUCCAGAUACAGAGGUGACAUGCAAAAUGUACAUAAGGAAGAUAAAUCUGUAAGUCUGAGUAUGCCUGUAAUUACAGAAGAGGAAGAGGAGAAUGAAAGUUUUAGUGAAACAGAGUUCACUGCACCCAAGAGGAGAAGAAAACACAGAACAAAGAGCCUGGUGUAGAGUACUUAAUUUUGAGCUUUCUGACAGAAGAAAAGAUUUAUAUUUUGCGUAUUGAACAGGAAGACUGCCAAUAUUAAAAAUAAUUCUUCUGGGAAGCUCAGUACUUUUAAAAGGUAUCAUUUCACUUGUACAGUGAAGAAACUGAAGAAACUUACCUCCGGAUGGUAAGUGCCUUGUCGACAUUCACAGAGUUAGUAAUGCAUCUGGGGUACAGAUACAGGGCUCUGGCCUAUAAUUUCAGAGUCGUUUUUUGUAAGCCAACAGAGAUGGAAAUCCAGACUGACUGCAAGAAGUAAAACCCCACUUCAAAAUGGCUUAAACAGUAAGGAAAGUUUAUUUGAAACCAGUUGAGCCUCAGGUGUGGGGCAGUCUGGGUUAUGGAGUACGUCAGUUCCAUGAUGCCUUCAUUUACCCAGGUGUGGGUCUUUAAGGAAAGCUUUAUAUCAGUGUGGAGAACUGUUUACCUGCCAAGUUCCCAGACUCUUGCCUAGGACCAACCUUGCAAAGAAAGCCUUUUUAGGACAGCAGUCUCAGGCCUGCUCUGUUAACUUCUGCAGUUUCAUUUCCUUUUUCACUAUUUCAAACAAUGCUACAUUGAUCUUUGUGUGUAUAUCUUGUCUUACUCAGGUUGGUAUUUCUGUUGGAUAAACCCAAUCUACACAUAAAUUUGUUUGUUAAACGCUGUGUAUAUAUAAAAUUUUGUUAAUUACUGCCAAACUGAACUCCCAAAAGCCUGCCAGUUUACAUUCCUACUAAUAGUAUUUGCAAGGGACCCUCCAUUACACUGGUUUUCAAUCUUUGUAAUUGUUGACAGUUGAAUACAGCCAGAAUCUUAAGAGCAGAAAAUGUAGAAAGAUUGACAAAAAGUAACAAAAUUGGAUUAAGCUGAUGUGACUUGCUAUAUGGUUACAUCUGACAAUGUAGUGCUUUAGCUGAUAGCAAAUUUUUCAUGAAUAUAUUUUGAAGAUAGGGUGUGAAACACUUGAUAGAUUUACUUUAGAUGUGAAAUUGAAGCUUACUGGGCAGAGUUCAAAUAGAAAAUAUUUGUGUUUAACAGUGGGUUUUCUUUCAGAAUGAAAAUAUGGUGUCCAAAUACUGGUUACCUAUUAAAGUAAGCUAUUUGUAUUGUCAACUUGAUUAUAAUAAAAUGGCACCAAGUUGUAAAUACAUGAUUUUAAAAUUAAAUAUUUAUGAAAUUAAUGUUUUGUGGGAGAAGAGGGGUUGUGGCAGUGUUCAUAAACACAAGCUACAUUUUAAAACCAUACCACUUUACUUUCAGAAAUCUUAAUAUAUGAAAGUAUUGUUCAGAGUAGAAAACUGUCAUUACAGUAGUUUUAGUGUUAGAUACCAGGUUUACUUGGGAUAUCUAAAAAAAACAAACAAUGAAUAAAGGAAGUGUAACCAUAAAGAAAAUGGAGCUUGUAUGGAUGCUUAUUAGGGGAAUAUUUUUCACUUGGAAAAUAAAAUAAUGUAUUAUAGUUUAUUUCUUCAGAAGAAAACUACACUGGAAAUGUGCACUUCUCUAUAAGAAAUCAUAGCGCAUUGUCUUUGUUUUCUGGUACUGUUAUGGGUUUACGUGGUUGUAAGCUCAUCUAAGAUCCCAUCUGGGGUUUUUUUGGGUUUUUUUUUUUGCGGUACGCGGGACUCUCACUGUUGUGGCCUCUCCCCGUUGCGGAGCACAGGCUCCGGACGCGCAGGCUCAGCGGUCAUGGCUCACGGGCCCAGCCGCUCCGCGGCAUGUGGGAUCUUCCCGGAACGGGGCGCGAACCCGUGUCCUCUGCGUCGGCAGGCGGACUCUCAACCACUGCGCCAUCAGGGAAGCCCCCCAUCUGGAUUUAUAACCCCUUUCACUUAAUGCCUCAAAGGUUUCCUAACUGUUAGUGGAUGUAUUUAAUGUGAGGAAACAUUCCCAAUCUCCUUAACAGCCUGUUAAAGUGCUUGUUCCCUGAAACAGACACAGUUGUACCAUCUGCAAAUUAUUUUGUACUGCCAGAGGAGAUACUGAACCAACUUUUAGGCAAAGAUUUUUGUCUUCUACAGGGAUUUCCAGAACAGUGAUAUGACAGGGAAAUGCAUUAAAAAACUUUAUCCAAAUGGUUUGAAUACUUGUAACUUUCUGAGCUAGAAGCUAGAAAGUAACAAAUUUCUAUCCUAGUUCUGUCACUGAUUCAUUGUGUAUCCUUGAGAAAUUCAUCUCUUUUUGUCUAAAUCCUUUUGUCAGCUGUAAAUUCAAGAUAAUACAGAACCAUUUACUGACUUUUCAAAAAUAUUAAGAACUAAAAAAAAAAUACUAAGAACUGCAUAUUGCUUUAAAAAUGCAAAGAUAUGAAUGCUAAACUUCAAAAUAAUUACAGCUGGAAAGUGUAAGCUUUUAAAAAGUACUUGGAUGUCAAGGAAACAAAAGUGAUUAUUAGUGGUUAAUGUGAUUUUUGAGGUGAUUUUCUUAAGGAGUAAUAAUUGAAAGCUUGUGUUUACACAGAUCCUCAGAUUGAUGGGAGACAAAGCUCUCAUGGUUCAGUUGACAAGGAGCGUCUGUUUUUAUCAAGUUGAAUUAGGUACACUAUAUAGCCUCUUCUAAUAACCUAUUUCAGUUAUGACAAGAAGAUUCACACAUGUAUAUACAGAGAAAAUAUAUGUAAUUGAGGUAUCUUUAAAAAUGAACUCUAUGGGCUGAAAAUUACUCUUGCUUUGAGAUAAAGAACCUAGGAAAAUAAACAGUUAUUAAUGCCUUCCCAACCUACACUUGAUUCUUGAAUUAAAUUACAGUUUGAAGAAUGCUUACUUUUUAAAAUGGCAUUGAGAAGACUCUGUGGGUGCUUAACUUCUCACAUUUUCAUUUAUCUUCUGAACAACUAUGUAGUAAUUUUCAUUGCACAUUAAAAAAAUUUCCUGAAUUAAAGUAAAUGCCAAAGUCUCAGGCUGUAUAACCCCCUUUUAUGUGGUGUUUUUUUUUUUAAAAAUAAAUUUAUUUAUUUAUUGGCUGUGUUGGUUCUUCCUUGCUGCUCACAGGCUUUGUUGCUCCGCGGCAUGUGGGAUCUUCCCGGAUCAAGGCUUGAACUCGUGUCCCCUGCAUUACCAGGCAGACUCCUAACCACUGCGCCACCAAGGAAACCCCUAUGUGGUGUUUCUUAUGCUUGAGUUAUUUGGUUUAAUAUGCUGUAUACGGCGGUUCUGGAUUUUUUAAGAACAAUCUGGACAGGCUCCUAUUUAGCUGCAAGGAACAAAGGCACAUUCACGUUAUCUUAAAUGCUGGAGGCUUAUUUUAAGAAUACAGGGGACAGGAAGGCGACCGCCUCAUCGGAGACAUGGCUGGUAAAAUGGCGCUUUGUCUUGUAGUGGGCACAGCAGCUCUGAUAGCUGUGGACGUCCACUGCACUGUAGUCGUCAUGUGCCUACUCUUACUCAUG